rnacentral:rRNA from 1 species
UACGUAGGGUGCAAGCGUUGUCCGGAAUUAUUGGGCGUAAAGAGCUCGUAGGCGGUUUGUUGCGUCGGCUGUGAAAUCCCGAGGCUCAACCUCGGGUCUGCAGUCGAUACGAGCAAACUAGAGUGUUGCAGGGGAGACUGGAAUUCCUGGUGUAGCGGUGGAAUGCGCAGAUAUCAGGAGGAACACCAAUAGCGAAGGCAGCUCGCUGGGACGUUAACUGACGCUGAGGAGCGAAAGCGUGGGAGCGAACAGG